UUGGGAAUCUUGGACAAUGGGGGAAACCCUGAUCCAGCCAUGCCGCGUGAGUGAUGAAGGCCUUCGGGUUGUAAAACUCUUUCGACGGGGACGAUAAUGACGGUACCCGUAGAAGAAGCUCCGGCUAACUUCGUGCCAGCAGCCGCGGUAAUACGAAGGGGGCUAGCGUUGUUCGGAAUUACUGGGCGUAAAGCGCGCGCAGGCGGUUUUCCAAGUCAGUGGUGAAAGCCCGGAGCUCAACUCCGGAACUGCCAUUGAAACUGUUGAACUUGAGGACGAGAGAGGUGAGUGGAAUUCCCAGUGUAGAGGUGAAAUUCGUAGAUAUUGGGAAGAACACCUGUGGCGAAGGCGGCUCACUGGCUCGUUUCUGACGCUCAGGCGCGAUAGCGUGGGGAUCAAACA
rnacentral:rRNA from 1 species